CUUCAGCGGCGGCGAGAAGCUCCUCCGACCACCAUCUGCUGCUGCUCGUACUUCUCCGACGAUGGUGAGUUGCAGUUGCUGCUUGUACUCCAUGCUCUUUUGCUUGUACUGCUAGAGUGGUCGUGCUUGUGCCGCUAUGUCUUCUGAUGCUGCUAGAUCAUCUCCUACUCAGAGUAGGAGCAGGAGUGUUAGAGUACAUGCAGUAGGAGUAAGUCUUCUGGUACUCCAUGUUGUACAAUUUGUGACUCAGAUCUGGGUCACAAUAUGAGUAGGAGCAGAGUACUGUACAUCCAGUAGUUGAGUGCUUGCUCAGACUAGGAUUUCUUUUAGGAGUAGUCUACUAAAACUCUGAAAGUACAGUACUCUACUGAAAGUACUCCUCGUAAGAAUAGUUAGAGUGUUUGCUCAAAGUAGGAUUUCAUUUAGGAGUACAGUCGAGCAAGUUUACAAGUUAUAGAACAAAAUGCUCUACUGAAAGUACUCCUUGUAAGAGUAGUGUGAUGCAGUAAAUUUACUGUACAUUCAGAAAUUGAGUAAAUUUACAGUAAAUUCAGGACUGUAGGAGUACAUUCACUGUUUUUUUGUCCAAGUGAAUAGCAUGUGUUUUCCCCAUUGGCCAUGUGUCAUUCUAGAAAUAAAAUUAGUGCAUAUCUAAUGGUAGUAGAUGUGCUUAGCUGAAACUUUAGGAGUGAUUUUUGUUAAUGUUAGGAGUGAUCUUAUGCUUGGAGUAUUGUUGCUUAGAGUAUUGGGUUAACUGGUGCAUCAUCCUAACCUUCAGCAGGUGUAAAUGUUGCCGAUUUACCGAAGAUGCGGCUCCUGAUCAUGCAUGUGGGUCGUCAAGAUUCUUGAUGUGGCUGAAGCUCCUGAAGAUGUUGAUCAUGUGGCUGCUGAUCGCAUGCUGCUGUGUCUGCCUCUUAGCUGUAAGACAAUCAUAGUACUUGGAGUAUUUAAUUUUGUUACUCCUUGUGACAGGAAUAUUGUUGCUUAGAGUAUUUGCUUGGAGUAUUGUUGCUUAGAGUAUUUGCUUGGAGUAUUGUUGCUUAGAGUAUUUGCUUGGAGUAUUGUUGCUUAGAGUAUUUUGCUUGGAGUACUUGUAGGAACAUGGGGUAGUGCUUGAUCUGGUGCAGUAUUUUAAGUACUGUUAAAAAUAUUGUUAAUUUAAAAUACUUUGUGUGAUAGGAAUCGAAUACUGUUAAUUUAAAUUACUGCUUGUAGAUAGAUUAGAUGCUUGGAGUAGUACUGCUAGUGU
rnacentral:lncRNA from 1 species